CCUUUCUCUGGUUCUAGACUAUUCUCUGUCAACAUUCUGACUGGCAGGGUUUGACUGUGUUUUAGUAGAGAGAACAUGUUACAAUGUCAGGUUCUGUAAUGUGUUUUAGUAGAGAACAUGUUACAAUGUCAGGUUCUGUAAUGUGUUUUAGUAGAGAACAUGUUACAAUGUCAGGUUCUGUCUGUAAUGUGUUUUAGUAGAGAACAUGUUACAAUGUCAGGUUCUGUAAUGUGUUUUAGUAGAGAGAACAUGUUACAAUGUCAGGUUCUGUAAUGUGUUUUAGUAGAGAACAUGUUACAAUGUCAGGUUCUGUAAUGUGUUUUAGUAGAGAACAUGUUACAAUGUCAGGUUCUGUAAUGUGUUUUAGUAGAGAGAACAUGUUACAAUGUCAGGUUCUGUAAUGUGUUUUAGUAGAGAACAUGUUACAAUGUCAGGUUCUGUAAUGUGUUUUAGUAGAGAGAACAUGUUACAAUGUCAGGUUCUGUCUGUAAUGUGUUUUAGUAGAGAACAUGUUACAAUGUCAGGUUCUGUAAUGUGUUUUAGUAGAGAGAACAUGUUACAAUGUCAGGUUCUGUAAUGUGUUUUAGUAGAGAACAUGUUACAAUGUCAGGUUCUGUAAUGUGUUUUAGUAGAGAACAUGUUACAAUGUCAGGUUCUGUAAUGUGUUUUAGUAGAGAGAACAUGUUACAAUGUCAGGUUCUGUAAUGUGUUUUAGUAGAGAACAUGUUACAAUGUCAGGUUCUGUAAUGUGUUUUAGUAGAGAGAACAUGUUACAAUGUCAGGUUCUGUCUGUAAUGGGUUUUAGUAGAGAACAUGUUACAAUGUCAGGUUCUGUAAUGGGUUUUAGUAGAGAGAACAUGUUACAAUGUCAGGUUCUGUAUUGUGUUUUAGUAGAGAGAACAUGUUACAAUGUCAGGUUCUGUAAUGUGUUUUAGUAGAGAACAUGUUACAAUGUCAGGUUCUGUAAUGUGUUUUAGUAGAGAACAUGUUACAAUGUCAGGUUCUGUAAUGGGUUUUAGUAGAGAGAACAUGUUACAAUGUCAGGUUCUGUAAUGGGUUUUAGUAGAGAACAUGUUACAAUGUCAGGUUCUGUAAUGUGUUUUAGUAGAGAACAUGUUACAAUGUCAGGUUCUGUAAUGUGUUUUAGUAGAGAGAACAUGUUACAAUGUCAGGUUCUGUAAUGUGUUUUAGUAGAGAGAACAUGUUACAAUGUCAGGUUCUGUAAUGUGUUUUAGUAGAGAACAUGUUACAAUGUCAGGUUCUGUAAUGUGUUUUAGUAGAGAACAUGUUACAAUGUCAGGUUCUGUAAUGUGUUUUAGUAGAGAGAACAUGUUACAAUGUCAGGUUCUGUAAUGUGUUUUAGUAGAGAACAUGUUACAAUGUCAGGUUCUGUAAUGUGUUUUAGUAGAGAACAUGUUACAAUGUCAGGUUCUGUAAUGUGUUUUAGUACAGAGAACAUGUUACAAUGUCAGGUUCUGUAAUGUGUUUUAGUAGAGAACAUGUUACAAUGUCAGGUUCUGUAAUGUGUUUUAGUAGAGAACAUGUUACAAUGUCAGGUUCUGUAAUGUGUUUUAGUAGAGAGAACAUGUUACUAUGUCAGGUUCUGUCUGUAAUGUGUUUUAGUAGAGAACAUGUUACAAUGUCAGGUUCUGUAAUGUGUUUUAGUAGAGAACAUGUUACAAUGUCAGGUUCUGUAAUGUGUUUUAGUAGAGAGAACAUGUUACAAUGUCAGGUUCUGUAAUGUGUUUUAGUAGAGAGAACAUGUUACAAUGUCAGGUUCUGUAAUGGGUUUUAGUAGAGAACAUGUUACAAUGUCAGGUUCUGUAAUGGGUUUUAGUAGAGAACAUGUUACAAUGUCAGGUUCUGUCUGUAAUGGGUUUUAGUAGAGAACAUGUUACAAUGUCAGGUUCUGUAAUGUGUUUUAGUAGAGAACAUGUUACAAUGUCAGGUUCUGUAAUGUGUUUUAGUAGAGAACAUGUUACAAUGUCAGGUUCUGUCUGUAAUGGGUUUUAGUAGAGAGAACAUGUUACAAUGUCAGGUUCUGUAAUGGGUUUUAGUAGAGAACAUGUUACAAUGUCAGGUUCUGUAAUGUGUUUUAGUAGAGAACAUGUUACAAUGUCAGGUUCUGUCUGUAAUGUGUUUUAGUAGAGAACAUGUUACAAUGUCAGGUUCUGUAAUGUGUUUUAGUAGAGAACAUGUUACAAUGUCAGGUUCUGUAAUGUGUUUUAGUAGAGAGAACAUGUUACAAUGUCAGGUUCUGUCUGUAAUGUGUUUUAGUAGAGAACAUGUUACAAUGUCAGGUUCUGUAAUGGGUUUUAGUAGAGAGAACAUGUUACAAUGUCAGGUUCUGUAUUGUGUUUUAGUAGAGAACAUGUUACAAUGUCAGGUUCUGUAAUGUGUUUUAGUAGAGAACAUGUUACAAUGUCAGGUUCUGUAAUGUGUUUUAGUAGAGAACAUGUUACAAUGUCAGGUUCUGUCUGUAAUGGGUUUUAGUAGAGAGAACAUGUUACAAUGUCAGGUUCUGUAAUGGGUUUUAGUAGAGAACAUGUUACAAUGUCAGGUUCUGUAUUGUGUUUUAGUAGAGAGAACAUGUUACAAUGUCAGGUUCUGUAAUGUGUUUUAGUAGAGAGAACAUGUUACAAUGUCAGGUUCUGUAAUGUGUUUUAGUAGAGAACAUGUUACAAUGUCAGGUUCUGUCUGUAAUGUGUUUUAGUAGAGAACAUGUUACAAUGUCAGGUUCUGUAAUGUGUUUUAGUAGAGAGAACAUGUUACAAUGUCAGGUUCUGUAAUGUGUUUUAGUAGAGAGAACAUGUUACAAUGUCAGGUUCUGUAAUGUGUUUUAGUAGAGAGAACAUGUUACAAUGUCAGGUUCUGUAAUGUGUUUUAGUAGAGAACAUGUUACAAUGUCAGGUUCUGUAAUGUGUUUUAGUAGAGAACAUGUUACAAUGUCAGGUUCUGUAAUGUGUUUUAGUAGAGAACAUGUUACAAUGUUACAAUGUCAGGUUCUGUAAUGUGUUUUAGUAGAGAACAUGUUA